AUUGAACGCUGGCGGCAGGCCUAACACAUGCAAGUCGAGCGAGCGGCGGACGGGUGAGUAAUGUAUGGGGACUGCCCGAUAGAGGGGGAUAACUACUGGACACGGUGGCUCAUACCCCAUACUGUCGGAUAACCCAUAUGGGAUUAGCUAGUAGGUAAUGGAAUGGCUUACCUAGGUGACGAUCCCUAGCUGGUAUGAGAGGAUGAUCAGCCACACUGGGACUGAGACACGGCCCAUACUCCUACGGAGGCAGCAGUGGGGAAUAUUGCACAAUGGGCGCAAGCCUGAUGCAGCCAUGCGGCGUGUAUGAAGAAGGCCCUAGGGUUGUAAAGUACUGUCAGUCGGGAGGCGUUACCGACAGAAGAAGCACCGGCUAACUCCGUGCCAGCAGCCGCGGUAAUAC
rnacentral:rRNA from 1 species